ensembl:lncRNA
GCACGGCGCUGAUCGCUGCGUGACGGAGCCGCGCGGGGGGCGGCGCGGGGCUCGGCCGGAGCUGAGAUGAAGUUAAAGUACAAACAGGAGCACAUAGCUGACAUGCUUCAAGUUGAGACAGUUCGAGAUAUGCAGAUGUGCGGGGCUGCGCGGUAUUGACAUUUUGAGGCCACGGUGAUCGGAAUGUAUUAUUUAUAGGAGCGGGUUGCGCUGGGCCCAUAAACUGCAUCUUACGUCCUCGGCGUCGCAAUCACUCGCACAGCCUGACGGCCUCCCACAGCCCCAGCCCGGCCCGCGACAGCUCCGAGAGGCCUCUCCUCCUCCCUCCUCGCUGCUGGCUGCUCUUUUCCUGUCUAAUCAAUUAUCUCCCUAGCUAGUCCUUCUCAAAGGUGAGAGCUCAUUAUGCAUAUUCAUAAAUCACAGCUCCCAGCCCUGACACUGAUUGAUGUAAUCAUCUCCUGCCUGCGCCUUCCUGCACCCGAGGAGCGCAGUGCGGAGCAGUGGGACGGGGCUGGGGCUGGUGGCCGUGCAGGGCCGAGUGGGCAGUGUGGGGCAGGGCAGGAGGCAGCCCCAUGCUGAGAGGUGCCCCGUGCAGCCAGCCGUGUGCAGGAGGAACGGAAACCAUGAGUCUGCAGCUUGGUUGUCUCCCAUGUCAAUUCCUAAAGUUUGAAAGUCUAACUUGCUUCCAAGAGAGGCAAAGCGCAAGCUUCACUGAGAAGUUCGACCAUCCCUAUUCCAAAAUAAUUUAAUGGAAAUGGACAUCCAAGAUGGCUAUUGAACAGCAGCCUUCGUGCCCGAGUUCUCGGAUGGAGACUUUUGCAAGUUAUUCCCAGAGAAGACAGUGCCAGAAAUGUAUGCCUGAUAGACAGCUUCCCUCCAGCGUACUAAAUCAAAGCCUAAUACUAACAGAAAUGUGUUGAUAUAAUUUUAGAACAAAUUAAAAUUAAAAUCCAGGACAGGCAGUGCUAGUGCUCACACCUUGCCUCCCGGCAUCCUAUGUGGCCGCUGAGAUUACUCGAGCGGCUCAAGGCGGGGGCUAGACCUCUGCUUUUACACCUCCCAUGCUGGCACUGAGGCACCUAGGCACAAGGAAUGGGGAGAGAAACCAGCUAGGAACAACGCCACGCUCCGGCCUACUUCUGUGUGCAAAAAAUAAACAAAAUGCAGGAAACUGGCAAAGGAAAAUGUCGCUCCCAAGAGCCAGAGGCAGAACUGGUACUACAGGUAGGGCUGGUGUUUAUUAUGUAGGGCUCUUAAAGGUGGUUUUAAGGAUGGCGGUGUCCCCUUAAGGACGGCAGCACACAGCUAAUAUUUUCUUUACUGCCACUGAAAUGCAAGUAAAUCCCAUGAAUUAAUAUAUUCACUUCAGGAAGAAUUCCCAUUCUUUUCUUAGGAUAUCAAAAUGGAGCCAUCAUCAGUCAGUUAGUUAAAUAGGAGUAUCUGGAGAGUAAGUAAAUGGAAGAGCUUUCAAACGCAGGGCUAAAAAUGCCCAAUGAAUGUGUAGGGGGCUUCAAUAAAAAGAUUUUGACUUGUGUUUUCACCCCUUUCCCACUUUGCUCAUUGUUUACUGACACUGCUAUGGACACAGCAUUCAGGCACUGCCUGCCCGAGCCCUGGGAUGUAAAAAUGUCAUCUCUAUUGUGCUGCUGGGCCGGCUUUGAUGCUGCCGCCGCCCUUUGUGCGCGCCUCUAAAUCCCUUUAUAAGGCUGUCCCGAUUGUCCGCGCCGCACAUCGCCACAAAAGCUCAUCUUAUGAGAAAGUAAAAAAGUCAGAGAGGGGCCGAAUGACGGGAGAUUGGGCCUUUGCUGUAAAAAGCCCACUGUUUGUCUUCAGUUCUCUCCGAGCAAUUGCAAAGUUUGGGCCGCGGCCGCAGCAGCAAAGCCAGGGCUCGCGUUGAAAAGCCAGCCCGCUGGGACACGUCCUCCUUACCUUCUAUCUACAACUGCCAGUGUUGUUUUUGUAAGGAGUGGGCGCUACGGAGGGGAAGAGUUAAGCCCUAGAAGUGCUCCUGGAGUGUAUUUUCCCAUUUCUGAAGUAGGACUCGUGCACAUUUCAUGUGAGGAGCUGCGACGGACUGCACGCAGAUUCAAGCAGUGCUGCAAAAAGUGCCCAUCGUUACACAGAGCAAACCCGCAAUAAAUACAGCCCUGUCCCCGCGGGACCGCGCGCCUUCGGGACGGGAACCCGAGCUGCGGACUCGCACUGCUGCUCAGGCAGUUGUUCUCCUGCCUAAUGCUAUUCUGACUUGUCCUGAAUGUUAGUGGGCAGGAGGCAGACAAAGGCUGGAUAAGGUCUUAUUCUUUCGGCGUGGGCUAUCGGCAUGGGAGGACGGUGAUUUCAUGGCUUUUGUUGCCGAGGUUAGGGACCGAAUUCUCUCACUGAAUUAGAAUGGUAACAAGUGGGACUGGGGAUCUCUGGGGCUUUUGUAGUGCACUCAUCUGAGAGAUUGCGCUUUUCUCAGCCCUUCAGAUUUUUUUUGCCAAAGUUACAGGGCAAUUAUGGAAAUGCGCCCUUUGAAGCUCGGCCGAUUUCUCUUUAUUUUCUCUCCCCCCCACCCCACCCCAGCAAAGCCAAGCUUCCCUCGCCUCCUUUCUUCAGCCGAGUGGCCCGCACUGACGCUGGGGUUUUGAGUGGCGACUCUGCUAAGCUUUGGAACAGCAAGAAAAACUUUUAAUAAAUAUAUGCUAAAAACCAGGCUUUGAAGCUUUUUGGGAAGGAAGUGCAAAAUAACAGGGAGGUAACGACCUCCUAGGAAAGGGUCUGCGUAUGUGGCAUGCUGGAAGAUCCACGCUAUGAAAAGAGCCUCAGUGUGGCGGAGCGCGGCGUUCAGCCAUGCCACUGCCCACUGCACCGCACUGCGCGGAGCUCAGCUGCACCUCACACUGCAGUGAGGGGCCCAGGGCAAACAGCGCUGCGCUUUCUCACCCUCCUACACUAUUUAUCAGCACAGUUUGGAAUCUUGGUGCUGCCUGUGAGCUAAUAUGACCUACUUUUUACUUUACUUCUGUCCUACCCCUAAGGAAACGCAUCCAAAACAAGAUGGUCAGACCUGGAGCUAUGUGGUCUCUGAUUAGGACUGCUUUUUGCGCCCAAACUCAGUUUUGCACCUCUGUUUGGCCCCCCUUUUGUUUCUCUAUUUGCAGCAGGCUGCCUUGCACCUGUAGGAUAAACCGAGGCUUUUCUGGGCCAUUCAACAAAUGCUAUGGGCCACACUCAGACUUGAUGUGAGUAGGAGAUAACUAUUGGUCUCCCUGAAACUUACAUACACCUACACAGGACAUAAGCCCAACCUGAAAUGUAGACCUUUCUAUCAGCAACAAAACAUGGUAAGAAUUGCAAUAUUCCUUGCCUGUGUUCUGUAACUGCGGUGCAAAUAUCCUUUGUGCUCUUUACAGAGCUUAUGAGGGAUCUUAGGACCUUCAGCAGCACAGAAUACAAGAGCCUG